AGCCUGUGAUGAAUUUUAAGAUAAGAGUAGUGGACAGAAGCGAUUUCUGACAACUUAAAUACUGAGGCU
ensembl:snoRNA small nucleolar RNA SNORD75